rnacentral:rRNA from 1 species
AUUGGACGCUGGCGGCAGGCUUAACACAUGCAAGUCGAACGCCCCGCAAGGGGAGUGGCAGACGGGUGAGUAACACGUGGGAACGUACCCUUUGGUUCGGAAUAACUUGGGGAAACUCAAGCUAAUACCGGAUAAGCCCUUAUGGGGAAAGGUUUACUGCCGAAGGAUCGGCCCGCGUCUGAUUAGCUAGUUGGUGAGGUAAUGGCUCACCAAGGCGACGAUCAGUAGCUGGUCUGAGAGGAUGAUCGGCCACACUGGGACUGAGACACGGCCCAGACUCCUACGGGAGGCAGCAGUGGGGAAUAUUGGACAAUGGGGGCAACCCUGAUCCAGCCAUGCCGCGUGAGUGAUGAAGGCCUUAGGGUUGUAAAGCUCUUUUACCCGGGACGAUAAUGACUGUACCGGGAGAAUAAGCCCCGGCUACUUCGUGCCAGCCGCCGCCGUAA